AUUGAACGCUGGCGGCAUGCCUUACACAUGCAAGUCGAACGGCAGCACGGGUGCUUGCACCUGGUGGCGAGUGGCGAACGGGUGAGUAAUACAUCGGAACAUGUCCUGUAGUGGGGGAUAGCCCGGCGAAAGCCGGAUUAAUACCGCAUACGAUCUACGGAUGAAAGCGGGGGACCUUCGGGCCUCGCGCUAUAGGGUUGGCCGAUGGCUGAUUAGCUAGUUGGUGGGGUAAAGGCCUACCAAGGCGACGAUCAGUAGAUGGUCUGAGAGGACGACCAGCCACACUGGGACUGAGACACGGCUCAGACUCCUACGGGAGGCAGCAGUGGGGAAUUUUGGACAAUGGGCGAAAGCCUGAUCCAGCAAUGCCGCGUGUGUGAAGAAGGCCUUCGGGUUGUAAAGCACUUUUGUCCGGAAAGAAAUCCUUGGCUCUAAUACAGUCGGGGGAUGACGGUACCGGAAGAAUAAGCACCGGCUAACUACGUG
rnacentral:rRNA from 1 species